CCCUUAGAUGUCCUGGGCCGCACGCGCGCUACACUGAUGCAUUCAACGAGUUUUUCCUUGGCCGAGAGGCCUGGGCAAUCUUUUGAACGUGCAUCGUGAUAGGGAUAGAUUAUUGCAAUUUUUAAUCUUGAACGAGGAAUUCCUAGUAAACGCAGUUCAUCAAUCUGCAUUGAUUACGUCCCUGCCCUUUGUACACACCGCCCGUCGCACCUACCGAUUGAAUGGUCCGGUGAAGCCUCGGGAUUGUGGCUAGUUCCCUUCAUUGGGAGUUGGUUGCGAGAACUUGUCUAAACCUUAUCAUUUAGAGGAAGGUGAANUCGUAACA
rnacentral:rRNA from 1 species